CAGGGGUCUCUGGACAUUAACUUUCACCUCCUCCUGGGUCAAAUCGUGAGGAUAAAAGGAGUGAGACUUGUUAUCAGCACAGGGAGAGAGCAGAGGGCUUCAGGUGCUCUGGGCCCCUUGGUGACUGUCCCAGUCUGGCUGCCCUGCGAGAUGCUCUAAAAAGACCCUAGGUGCCUCUCCAUGGGCAGCUCUCCUAAGACCCUUGACCUUCAAAUCCCUGCUGGAGCUGGAGGCAGAAAUGUUCUGGGUCUGCAAAACAGUUAAGGGAC